AAUCGGACAUAGUACGAUAAGGUUGUAUGUCUAAAGGGAAACAGCCCAAAACAAGAGUAAUAAGGUUCCUAAAUUAUUAUUAAGUGAAAUUAAGGAUAUCUAUAUAUAAUACAACCAGGAAAUAGGCUUAGAAGCGGUCAUUUUUUAAAGAUCUCGUAACAGAGCACUGGUAAAUUAAAUAUAUAUAAAUACCAAAAAUUUAACGGAUCUAAAUAAUAUACCGAAACCUUGUACAAAAAUAGAGAAAUAAAUAAAUAAAAAAAAAUAAAUCUAUUUUUGAGAUAGCGGAACAAUGGAUAAAAUAAUAGAAAUAAAGUAAAAUUACUUUAUUAAAAUAAUUUAAGAAUCCAAGAGAGAAUGCUGACAUGAGUAACGAAAAAGGAAUAUAUCCUCGCCUUAAGCUUAUGGUAUUAAA
rnacentral:rRNA from 1 species